CUUCCCACCAAGAAAAAUGGACUGUAAUUAACAAAGCCAUAUAUGUAAACGCUAUAAGAACAAUAUUCAUUAUUAUUAUGAUUUAAAUAUGUUAAAUCCUUUUUCUAAUGAUCUUACAAGAUGAAAAGCUAGUUUCAGUUUCUCAUUUUUUAAUUAGCAAGGAACUCCCGAAAAUGCUUCAAAAGUUCUAUAAUAGUUAUUUAAUUAGACUGCAGUACUCAAUUACUAAAUAUUCCUUUAUUUUAGUCGCUAAAAAGUGUCAUAAUUUGUGGGAGUGUAUAUGGAUAAGCCAAAACGCCCAUUUUAUUAAAAGGUAAAAGUCGAUUUAAGCUUGGAUUGCAAUAUUUAUAAUAAUUAUUUUCCUUAACUCUAUGGGUUCGCCUAAUUACAAUUAACUGUCUGCUGUUCCUUCGAAAAAAAAAAUAAAAAAAUACAACCUGAAUAUGUCUUCUCAAGGUUCAAGCUUGCUUAGAUUUUGAGAUUGAAAAUAAAACAGAGAUUUCCUAUUUGCAUGUAAUUUAAGGUCCAUUUUCUAAACAUUAAGAAGCUCAUCGGUUUCACAAUCGGGGUUACCUCUAGAAUCUAUUUGGGGCAAUCUAAUUUCAGUUAAUUUCAAUUGUAACUCCAAAUCACUUUACUGAAUUGUAAAUCGGUUUACUGAAUUGUUAUUUCCAGUACAUGGUCUCUCAUAAUUUUAUUUAUACUAUCUAUCUGGUUAUGCAGCUCUUGGAAAUUAUUAAAACAAAUGCCAUAAUUGCUGGAUGUCAUUUUUUUCUUUGGUCUUUUUUUUUUCAUUUUUCUUACUCUAUAGAAUUUUUUUGUGCAGUUGACUUUCUUCAAAAC